UUUCCCCAUCGUACAGUGGUGCUGCACACCCUGGCCCUGUCCCCGAGGUGGCUGGGAGGUGGCUCCUCAAACAGCCACUUUCUCAUCAGUGCCCGGUGCUGGGUCAGGCAUCGACUGAGGCUCUGAGCUAACUAGGAAACACAGUGGCCUUGGAGGGCUGGGGAGUGUCAUGGGGGUGGGGACAGGGAGCCACCGGUCGCAUGUGACUGAACUCUUCACCCCAGUCUGUGGCUUUCCCGUUGCAGUGAGAGCCACGAGCCAAGGUGGGCACUUGAUGUCGGAUCUCUUCAACAAGCUGGUCAUGAGGCGCAAGGGCAUCUCUGGGAAAGGACCUGGGGCUGGUGACGGGCCCGGAGGAGCCUUUGCCCGCGUGUCAGACUCCAUCCCUCCUCUGCCGCCACCGCAGCAGCCACAGGCAGAGGACGAGGACGACUGGGAAUCGUAGGGGGCUCCAUGACACCUUCCCCCCCAGACCCAGACUUGGCCGUUGCUCUGACAUGGACACAGCCAGGACAAGCUGCUCAGACCUGCUUCCCUGGGAGGGGGUGACGGAACCAGCACUGUGUGGAGACCAGCUUCAAGGAGCGGAAGGCUGGCUUGAGGCCACACAGCUGGGGCGGGGACUUCUGUCUGCCUGUGCUCCAUGGGGGGACGGCUCCACCCAGCCUGCGCCACUGUGUUCUUCUCUUAAGAGGCUUCCAGAGAAAACGGCACACCAAUCAAUAAAGAACUGAGCAGAAACCAACAGUGUGCUUUUAAUAAAGGACCUCUAGCUGUGCAGG
rnacentral:lncRNA from 1 species